CUUCGGAAGCUCCAAAGUUGCGCUGGCUAUUGUUGACAUUGAAGAAGAGCAGCUUUUCUGAGAGCUGCUGUAAUACUUUUAGGACACUGAAAAAACAAGACAACCAUGAAGAAGGAAGUUUGUUCUCCAAGGUGGAGAGAGGCAUUGGCCUAAAGCCUAAGGAUACCAUCCUUGGAGACAAAGCAAGAAGUGAAUUUGGAGUUGACAUUAAGCUAAUUCUACUCAAGGCUGAAUCUGACCCACAACCCACUUUAUGUGUAUUGGAGAUUGCUGGUGGGGACUGGUAAGUAAGAGGGUUUUUACUGAAAAUCUUAAGACAAAGAGGUGGAGACAGAAUGCAAGGAACACUAUGUUGAAAGUGUAUGACAUGGGCACAUAUGUAUCAAAUAACUGUUUAACAUUAGUCUGUAACUACUAGGGACAGGCUGGUGAGAACCAGUGCCGGGCUACAGAAGUCAGCGUAGCAAUGACUAUUUGCAUAAACUAAAGAUACAUUGUCUCAAAGGAAAAAGGCAGAGGUUGUAGCAUCUGCAGAGGUUUGAUCCUCUCCCAUACUCAGGAAAUCAAGCCUGUUUUGCUCUCUUUCUAUACUGGACGGAGUCAAAAAGUUAAGUUUAAUGGAAGUUGAAACAUAAGACCAUAUCACUAGUACUUCCCAUGGCAUGUAAAGAGUCCUUCAACUAACAACAAAACCAGGAAUUUUCUUAGACAACAAAUUUUCAGUUAGCUUUUUUGUCCUUUUUCUAUAGACUGUAGGUGUAACACAGGUUACAUUUCUGCUUCUACUUGCUACAGCAAAAUGUUUAGCACUUGACAUGAAGAGGCAGUGAGGACCACCUGAAACACAGGAGGGUCUAUCUGAUCACAAAGAAACACUUUUUUCACUUUGAGAAUGACUGAGCACUGGCACAGAUUGCCCAAGAAGUUGUGGAGUCUCCUUCCACAAGUGUCUUGACUGACGCUUUCUUCCAUCAGCCCUGCAUUUCCUCUUGUUGUGGUGCAUCAGGUGCACUUGGCUUGAAGGGCUGCUUCACGCACAGUUGAAUUCCUCAUGCUUUUUGCAUGCACUUGA